UCUGAGCAAUCAAAGGGGGCAGGAGGGGGGUUAUCUGCCCCAUCAGGUCAGGGCCCAGGGAAGAGCAAGGGCGGGAGAGCAGCCCCCAAGCUGAGGGCCGGCCAGGCGGGGAGCUGGGAACGGGAUUUCAAAGGGACCUGAAUGUGGAGGUGCAGAGCUGAGAACUGGACAUGGGGCCCGAUCCUGGAUGCUGCCCCAGGCAGAGCACAGGGCUUGGGCCCUCCACCAGGAGGCAGCAGGACACACACCUGUCACAGGUCGGGGCUGUUUAUCCCAAUCCCAUUGCUGCUUCGGGGCAGGCCCAGCGCCACGUGCUGGUGCAAAGCCCUCAGUGCUUCAUCCCUGUGCGGUGUUAUGUGCAGCUGUUCCCCACCUGCCCUGCCCCAGAGGUGGCUGCAUCUUGGCAUCCGUUGAGCUGUCCCUGUGCAUUACACCAUGUGAUGCUACACUGGGGGCAAGGCCGUGUGGGGCCAGCUCCCCUGGUCAAAGGAGAACCGAGGUUGGUGGUGAAAGAUGGGGGGGGUCAAGAAACUUAAAGGUCAUGGGGGGAUUCCCCCAAAGACCUGGCCAAUGAAGAGAGAGGGAAUGAUCCCUCCCAUGCUCACUGCCAAUGGUCUCUCCCAGCAUCAGCCAUGUUCAGAGCGAAUGGUCCCUCCCAGGCCCCCCCCAUGCUCGAGUGCCAAUGGUCUCUCCCAGUACGGCGGGCAGGGCUCGGUGACAGUAUCAGGCAGCGCCUGGGUGGAAGAGACCAUCUGACCGCGCUGGAGAGGGGAGGUACUACAGGCGCCAGACCUGCCCAGCGAUGGCGACGCCCCCAGGGGUCUCCUCGGGGGAGGACGGACCCAGCUCCCCCCUCCCAGUGGUAAAGUAACUCGCCCCCUCGGCGCACGUGGCCAUGAAGCGGGGUGGCCGGAGGGGCCCCCAGCCCCGUCGCAACCCCGGGCUCCCCGAAACCAAACGCCGUGGCCGAGCCCAGAGGAUGAACAAAGAUAUGGAGCAGCUGGAAUCGGGGCUGCAGCGCCUGGUAGGUGGGACACCCGGACG